GCUUUCGUCAGUUGACUUGGCGGUUUGAGGUAGGCUGAUCAAGGGCUUGCACUGGCCGGCGCAUGUCGACCUGUCACAUGUUCCAGUCGAGUCUCCGAGCUCAAUCUGUGUGUAAAAAUUAUGUGUUGGUAGAAAGUUUAAUGACUCAGCUCAGUUGGUAUGCUAUGCUGUCUAUCUUUUAGACUAUGUGUUUGUAGAGCAAUAUUAUGUAUAUAUUAUGUUACAGGGCUAGGAAAAGGUUAAAGGUUUUUGGCGUUAGCGUUAAAAUCAAUGUCCAAAACCUUUUUAGGAACUCUUUUCCAACGUUUUGGAGGGAGCUAGACUAGAAAAAAAAGAAAAAAGAAAAAAAAAAUUUGGGGUGUUCGGGCUUCCUGAAGGUAAUACCCGGGUAUUAGGUUAUGGGGCUAGGGUAAGGUUUAAGGCUUUUGGCGUAUGGGUUAAAAUCACUGUCCAAAACCUUUUUAGGAACAUGUUUCAGACCUUUUGGAGUUAGUUAGACCAAAAAAAAUGAAAAAUGAAAAAAAUAUAUUUGGGGUGUUCGGGCUUCCUGAAGGUAAUACCCGGGUAUUAGGUUAGGGGCUAAGGUAAGGUUUAAGGUUUUUGGCGUGAGGGUUAAAAUCACUGUCCAAAACCUUUGUAGGAACUCUUUACCAUCCUUUUGGAGUUAGUUAGACCAAAAAAAAAAAAAAGAAAAAUGAAAAAAAAAUAUUUGGGGUGUUCGGGCUUCCUGAAGGUAAUACCCGGGUAUUAGGUUAUGGGGCUAGGGUAAGGUUUAAGGUUUUUGGCGUAUGGGUUAAAAUCACUGUCCAAAACCUUUUUAGGAACAUGUUUCAGACCUUUUGGAGUUGGUUACACCAAAAAAAAUGUAAAAUGAAAAAAAAUUUUUUUUGGGUGUUCGGGCUUCCUGAAGGUAAUACUAGGUUUCUGGGCUAGGGUAAUGUUUAAGGUUUUUGGCGUUAGGGUUAAAAUCAAUGUCCAAAACCUUUGUAGGAACUCUUUUCCAACCUUUGAGAGCAAGUUAGACCAAAAAUAAAGAAAAAUAAAAAAAUAUAUAUUUGGGGUGUUCGGGCUUCCUGAAGGUAAUACCCGGGUAUUAGGUUUUGGGGCUAGGGUUAGGUUUAAGGUUUUUGGCGUUAGGGUUAAAAUAACUGUCCAAUAUUUUUUAAGGAACAUGUUUCAGACCUUUGGGAGUUAGUUAGACAAAAAAAAAGAAAAAUGAAAAAAAUAUAUUUGGGGUGUUCGGGUUUCCUGAAGGUAAUACCCGGGUAUUAGGUUAUGGGGCUAGGGUAAGGUUUAAGGUUUUUGGCGUUAGGGUUAAAAUCACUGUCCAAUAUUUUUUAAGGAACAUGUUUCAGACCUUUGGGAGUUAGUUAGACGAAAAAAAAAGAAAAAGAAAAAAAAAUAUUUGGGGUGUUCGGGUUUCCUGAAGGUAUUAGGUUUUGGGGCUAGGGUAAGGUUUAAGGUUUUUGGCGUUAGGGUUAAAAUCACUGUCCAAAACCUUUGUAGGAACUCUUUUCCGACCUUUUGGAGUUGGUUACACCAAAAAAAAUGUAAAAUGAAAAAAAAAAUAUUUGGCGUCUUCGGGCUUCCUGAAGGAAAUACCCAGGUAUUAGGUUAUGGGGCUAUAGUAAGGUUAAAGGUUUUUGGCGUUAGGGUUAAAAUCACCGUCCAAAACCUUUGUAGGAACAUGUUUCAGACCUUUUGGAGUUGGUAACACCAAAAAAAAUGUAAAAUGAAAAAAAAAUAUUUGGGGUGUUCGGGCUUCCUGAAGGUAAUACGCGGGUAUUAGGUUUUGGGGCUAGGGUAAGGUUUAAGGUUUUUGGCGUUAGGGUUAAAAUCACUGUCCAAAACCUUUUAAGGAACAAGUUCAGACCUUUUGGAGUUGGUUACACCAAAAAAAAUGUAAAAUGAAAAAAAAAAAUAUUUGGGGUGUUCGGGCUUCCUGAAGGUAAUACCCUUCAGGUUUAAGUAUUAGGUUAUGGGGCUAGGAUUAGGUUUAAGGUUUUUGGGGUAAGGGUUAAAAUCACUGUCCAAUAUUUUUUAAGGAACAUGUUUCAGACCAUUUGGAGCUAGUUUGACCAAAAAAAAAAAGAAAAAGAAAAAAAUAUAUAUUUGGGGUGUUCGGGCUUCCUGAAGGUAAUACCCGGGUAUUAGGUUUUGGGGCUAGGAUUAGGUUUAAGGUUUUUGGCGUUAGGGUUAAAAUCACUGUCCAAUAUUUUUUAAGGAACAUGUUUCAGACCUUUUGGAGUUAGUUCGACCAAAAAAAAAAAGAAAAAAGAAAAAAAAUAUUUUGGGUUUUCGGGCUUCCUGAAGGUAUUAGGUUUUGGGGCUAGUGUAAGGUUUAAGGUUUUUGGCGUUAGGGUUAAAAUCACUGUCCAAAACCUUUAAAGGAACAAGAUUCAGACCUUUUGGAGUUGGUUACACCAAAAAAAAUGUAAAAUGAAAAAAAAUUUUUUUUGGGUGUUCGGGCUUCCUGAAGGUAAUACUAGGUUUCUGGGCUAGGGUAAGGUUUAAGGUUUUUGGCGUUAGGGUUAAAAUCAAUGUCCAAAACCUUUGUAGGAACUCUUUUCCAACCUUUGAGAGCAAGUUAGACCAAAACAAAAAUAAAAAUAAAAAUAUAUAUUUGGGGUGUUCGGGCUUCCUGAAGGUAAUACCCGGGUAUUAGGUUUUGGGGCUAGGGUUAGGUUUAAGGUUUUUGGCGUUAGAGUUAAAAUCAGUGUCCAACACCUUUUUAGGAACAUGUUUAAGACCUUUUGGAGUUGGUUACACCAAAAAAAAUGUAAAAUGAAAAAAAAAAUAUUUGGCGUCUUCGGGCUUCCUGAAGGAAAUACCCAGGUAUUAGGUUAUGGGGCUAUAGUAAGGUUUAAGGUUUUUGGCGUUAGGGUUAAAAUCACUGUCCAAAACCUUUGUAGGAACAUGUUUCAGACCUUUUGGAGUUGGUAACACCAAAAAAAAAUGUAAAAUGAAAAAAAAAUAUUUGGGGUGUUCGGGCUUCCUGAAGGUAAUACCCGGGUAUUAGGUUUUGGGGCUAGGGUAAGGUUUAAGGUUUUUGGCGUUAGGGUUAAAAUCACUGUCCAAAACCUUUUAAGGAACAAGAUUUCAGACCUUUUGGAGUUGGUUACACCAAAAAAAAAUGUAAAAUGAAAAAAAAAAUAUUUGGGGUGUUCGGGCUUCCUGAAGGUAAUACCCGGGUAUUAGGUUAUGGGGCUAGGAUUAGGUUUAAGGUUUUUGGCGUUAGGGUUAAAAUCACUGUCCAAUAUUUUUUAAGGAACAUGUUUCAGACCUUUUGGAGUUAGUUAGACCAAAAGAAAAAAGAAAAAGAAAAAAUAUAUAUUUGGGGUGUUCGGGCUUCCUGAAGGUAAUACCCGGGUAUUAGGUUUUGGGGCUAGGAUUAGGUUUAAGGUUUUUGGCGUUAGGGUUAAAAUCACUGUCCAAUAUUUUUUAAGGAACAUGUUUCAGACCUUUUGGAGUUAGUUCGACCAAAAAAAAAAGAAAAAAGAAAAAAAAUAUUUUGGGUUUUCGGGCUUCCUGAAGGUAUUAGGUUUUGGGGCUAGUGUAAGGUUUAAGGUUUUUGGCGUUAGGGUUAAAAUCACUGUCCAAAACCUUUUAAGGAACAAGAUUCAGACCUUUUGGAGUUGGUUACACCAAAAAAAAUGUAAUAUGAAAAAAAAUUUUUUUUGGGUGUUCGGGCUUCCUGAAGGUAAUACUAGGUUUCUGGGCUAGGGUAAUGUUUAAGGUUUUUGGCGUUAGGGUUAAAAUCAGUGUCCAAAACCUUUGUAGGAACUCUUUUCCAACCUUUGAGAGCAAGUUAGACCAAAACAAAAAUAAAAAUAAAAAUAUAUAUUUGGGGUGUUCGGGCUUCCUGAAGGUAAUACCCGGGUAUUAGGUUUUGGGGCUAGGGUUAGGUUUAAGGUUUUUGGCGUUAGGGUCAAAAUAACUGUCCAAUAUUUUUUAAGGAACAUGUUUCAGAACUUUGGGAGUAAGUUAGACAAAAAAAAAAAAGAAAAAGAAAAAAAAAAUAUUUGGGGUGUUCGGGUUUCCUGAAGGUAAUACCCGGGUAUUAGGUUAUGGGGCUAGGGUAAGGUUUAAGGUUUUUGGCGUUAGGGUUAAAAUCACUGUCCAAAACCUUUUUAGGAACAUGUUUCAGACCUUUUGGAGUUGGUUACACCAAAAAAAAAUGUAAAAUGAAAAAAUAUAUAUUUGGGGUGUUCGGGCUUCCUGAAGGAAAUACCCAGGUAUUAGGUUAUGGGGCUAUAGUAAGGUUAAAGGUUUUUGGCGUUAGGGUUAAAAUCACUGUCCAAAACCUUUGUAGGAACUCUUUUCCAACCUUUUGGAGUUAGUUAGACCAAAAAAAAACGAAAAAUGAAAAAAAAAUAUUUGGGGUUUUUGGGCUUCCUGAAGGUAAUACCCGGGUAUUAGGUUAUGGGGCUAGGGUAAGGUUUAAGGUUUUUGGCGUUAGAGUUAAAAUCAGUGUCCAAAACCUUUUUAGGAACAUGUUUAAGACCUUUUGGAGUUGGUUACACCAAAAAAAAUGUAAAAUGAAAAAAAAAAUAUUUGGGGUCUUCGGGCUUCCUGAAGGUAAUACCCGGGUAUUAGGUUAUGGGGCUAUAGUAAGGUUAAAGGUUUUUGGCGUUAGGGUUAAAAUCACCGUCCAAAACCUUUGUAGGAACAUGUUUCAGACCUUUUGGAGUUGGUAACACCAAAGAAAAAUGUAAAAUGAAAAAGAAAAUAUUUGGGGUGUUCAAGCUUCCUGAAGGUAAUACCCGGGUAUUAGGUUUUGGGGCUAGGGUAAGGUUUAAGGUUUUUGGCGUUAGGGUUAAAAUCACUGUCCAAAACCUUUUAAGGAACAAGAUUCAGACCUUUUGGAGUUGGUUACACCAAAAAAAAUGUAAAAUGAAAAAAAAUAUAUUUGGGGUGUUCGGGCUUCCUGAAGGUAAUACCCUUCAGGUUUAAGUAUUAGGUUAUGGGGCUAGGAUUAGGUUUAAGGUUUUUGGCGUAAGGGUUAAAAUCACUGUCCAAUAUUUUUUAAGGAACAUGUUUCAGACCUUUUGGAGUUAGUUAGACCAAAAAAAAAGAAAAAGAAAAAAUAUUUAUUUGGGGUGUUCGGGCUUCCUGAAGGUAAUACCCGGGUAUUAGGUUAUGGGGCUAGGUUAAGGUUUAAGGUUUUUGUAGUGAGGGUUAAAAUCACUGUCCAAAACCUUUGUAGGACCUCUUUUCAAACCUUUUUGUGUUAGUUAGACAAAAAAAAAAACGAAAAAUUAAAAAAAAAUAUUUGGGGUGUUCGGGCUUCCGGAAGGUAAUACCCGGGUAUUAGGUUAUGGGGCUUUGGAAAGGUUUAAGGCUUUUGGCGUGAGAGUUAAAAUCACUGUCCAAAACCUUUGUAGGAAGUCUUUUCCAACCUUUUGGAGUUAGUUAGACCAAAAAAAAAUGAAAAAUGAAAAAAAAAUAUUUGGGGUGUUCGGGCUUCCUGAAGGUAAUACCCGGGUAUUAGGUUUUGGGGCUAGGAUUAGGUUUAAGGUUUUUGGCGUUAGGGUUAAAAUCACUGUCCAAUAUUUUUUAAGGAACAUGUUUCAGACCUUUUGGAGUUAGUUCGACCAAAAAAAAAGAAAAAAGAAAAAAAAUAUUUGGGGUUUUCGGGCUUCCUGAAGGUAUUAGGUUUUGGGGCUAGUGUAAGGUUUAAGGUUUUUGGCGUUAGGGUUAAAAUCACUGUCCAAAACCUUUUAAGGAACAAGAUUCAGACCUUUUGGAGUUGGUUACACCAAAAAAAAUGUAAAAUGACAAAAAAAAUAUUUGGGGUGUUCGGGCUUCCUGAAGGUAAUACCCUUCAGGUUUAAGUAUUAGGUUAUGGGGCUAGGAUUAGGUUUAAGGUUUUUGGCGUAAGGGUUAAAAUUACUGUCCAAUAUUUUUUAAGGAACAUGUUUCAGACCUUUUGGAGUUAAUUAGACAAAAAAAAAAGAUAAAUGAAAAAAAAAUAUUUGGGGUGUUCGGGCUUCCUGAAGGUAAUACCCGGGUAUUAGGUUAUGGGGCUAGGGUAAGGUUUAAGGUUUUUGGCGUUAGAGUUAAAAUCAGUGUCCAACACCUUUUUAGGAACAUGUUUCAGACCUUUUGGAGUUGGUUACACCAAAAAAAAAUGUAAAAUGAAAAAAAAAUAUUUGGGGUGUUCAAGCUUCCUGAAGGUAAUACCUGGGUAUUAGGUUUUGGGCUAGGGUAAGGUUUAAGGUUUUUGGCGUUAGGGUCAAAAUCACUGUCCAAAACCUUUUAAAGGAACAAGAUUCAGACCUUUUGGAGUUGGUUACACCAAAAAAAAUGUAAAAUGAAAAAAAAAAUAUUUGGGGUGUUCGGGAUUCCUGAAGGUAAUACCCUUCAGGUUUAAGUAUUAGGUUAGGGGGCUAGGAUUAGGUUUAAGGUUUUUGGCGUAAGGGUUAAAAUCACUGUCCAAUAUUUUUUAAGGAACAUGUUUCAGACCUUUUGGAGCUAGUUUGACCAAAAAAAAAAAGAAAAAGAAAAAAUAUAUAUUUGGGGUGUUCGGGCUUCCUGAAGGUAAUACCCUUCAGGUUUAAGUAUUAGGUUAUGGGGCUAGGAUUAGGUUUAAGGUUUUUGGCGUAAGGGUUAAAAUCACUGUCCAAUAUUUUUUAAGGAACAUGUUUCAGACCUUUUGGAGUUAAUUAGACAAAAAAAAAAGAUAAAUGAAAAAAAAAUAUUUGGGGUGUUCGGGCUUCCUGAAGGUAAUACCCGGGUAUUAGGUUAUGGGGCUAGGGUAAGGUUUAAGGUUUUUGGCGUUAGAGUUAAAAUCAGUGUCCAACACCUUUUUAGGAACAUGUUUCAGACCUUUUGGAGUUGGUUACACCAAAAAAAAAAUGUAAAAUGAAAAAAAAAUAUUUGGGGUGUUCGGGCUUCCUGAAGGUAAUACCCGGGUAUUAGGUUUUGGGGCUAGGGUAAGGUUUAAGGUUUUUGGCGUUAGGGUCAAAAUCACUGUCCAAAACCUUUUAAAGGAACAAGAUUCAGACCUUUUGGAGUUGGUUACACCAAAAAAAAUGUAAAAUGAAAAAAAAAAUAUUUGGGGUGUUCGGGAUUCCUGAAGGUAAUACCCUUCAGGUUUAAGUAUUAGGUUAGGGGGCUAGGAUUAGGUUUAAGGUUUUUGGCGUUAGGGUUAAAAUCACUAUCCAAUAUUUUUUAAGGAACAUGUUUCAGACCUUUUGGAGCUAGUUUGACCAAAAAAAAAAGAAAAAGAAAAAAUAUAUAUUUGGGGUGUUCGGGCUUCCUGAAGGUAAUACCCGGGUAUUAGGUUAUGGGGCUAGGUUAAGGUUUAAGGUUUUUGGCGUAAGGGUUAAAAUCACUGUCCAAUAUUUUUUAAGGAACAUGUUUCAGACCUUUUGGAGUUAAUUAGACAAAAAAAAAAGAUAAAUGAAAAAAAAAUAUUUGGGGUGUUCGGGCUUCCUGAAGGUAAUACCCGGGUAUUAGGUUAUGGGGCUAGGGUAAGGUUUAAGGUUUUGGCGUUAGAGUUAAAAUCAGUGUCCAACACCUUUUUAGGAACAUGUUUCAGACCUUUUGGAGUUGGUUACACCAAAAAAAAAAUGUAAAAUGAAAAAAAAAUAUUUGGGGUGUUCAAGCUUCCUGAAGGUAAUACCUGGGUAUUAGGUUUUUGGGGCUAGGGUAAGGUUUAAGGUUUUUGGCGUUAGGGUCAAAAUCACUGUCCAAAACCUUUUAAAGGAACAAGAUUCAGACCUUUUGGAGUUGGUUACACCAAAAAAAAUGUAAAAUGAAAAAAAAAUAUUUGGGGUGUUCGGGAUUCCUGAAGGUAAUACCCUUCAGGUUUAAGUAUUAGGUUAGGGGGCUAGGAUUACGUUUAAGGUUUUUGGCGUAAGGGUUAAAAUAACUAUCCAAUAUUUUUUAAGGAACAUGUUUCAGACCUUUUGGAGCUAGUUUGACCAAAAAAAAAGAAAAAGAAAAAAUAUAUAUUUGGGGUGUUCGGGCUUCCUGAAGGUAAUACCCGGGUAUUAGGUUAUGGGGCUAGGGUAAGGUUUAAGGUUUUUGGCGUUAGAGUUAAAAUCAAUGUCCAAAACCUUUUUAGGAACAUGUUUAAGACCUUUUGGAGCUCGUUAGACAAAAAAAAAAAGAUAAAUGAAAAAAAAAUAUUUGGGGUGUUCGGGCUUCCUGAAGGUAAUAACCGGGUAUUAGGUUAUGGGGCUAGGGUAAGGUUUAAGGUUUUUGGCGUAAGGGUUAAAAUCACUGUCCAAAACCUUUUUAGGAACAUGUUUCAGACCUUUUGGAGUUGGUUACACCAAAAAAAAUGUAAAAUGAAAAGAAAAUUUUUUUGGGUGUUCGGGCUUCCUGAAGGUAAUACUAGGUUAAUGGGGCUAGGGUAAUGUUUAAGGUUUUUGGCGUUAGGGUUAAAAUCAAUGUCCAAAACCUUUGUAGGAACUCUUUUCCAACCUUUGAGAGCAAGUUAGACCAAAACAAAAAGAAAAAUAAAAAAUAUAUUUGGGGUGUUCGGGCUUCCUGAAGGUAAUACCCGGGUAUUAGGUUAUGGGGCUAGGGUAAGGUUUAAGGUUUUUCAGCGUGAGGAUAAAAAUCACCGUCCAAAACCUUUGUAGGAACUCUUUUCCAACCUUUGGGAAUUAGUUAGACAAAAAAAAAAAGGUAAAUGCGUUAGGGUUAAAAUAACUAUCCAAUAUUUUUUAAGGAACAUGUUUCAGACCUUUUGGAGCUAGUUUGACCAAAAAAAAAGAAAAAGAAAAAAAUAUAUAUUUGGGGUGUUCGGGCUUCGUGGAGGUAAUACCCGGGUAUUAGGUUUUGGGGCUAGGGUUAGGUUUAAGGUUUUUGGCGUUAGGGUUAAAAUAACUGUCCAAUAUUUUUUAAGGAACAUGUUUCAGACCUUUGGGAGUUAGUUAAACAAAAAAAAAAGAAAAAGAAAACAAAAAUAUUUGGGGUGUUCGGGCUUCCUGAAGGUAAUACCCGGGUAUUAGGUUAUGGGGCUAGGGUAAGGUUUAAGGUUUUUGGCGUUAGAGUUAAAAUCAAUGUCCAAAACCUUUUUAGGAACAUGUUUAAGACCUUUUGGAGCUCGUUAGACAAAAAAAAAGAUAAAUGAAAAAAAAAUAUUUGGGGUGUUCGGGCUUCCUGAAGGUAAUAACCGGGUAUUAGGUUAUGGGGCUAGGGUAAGGUUUAAGGUUUUUGGCGUAAGGGUUAAAAUCACUGUCCAAAACCUUUUUAGGAACAUGUUUCAGACCUUUUGGAGUUGGUUACACCAAAAAAAAUGUAAAAUGAAAAGAAAAUUUUUUUUGGGUGUUCGGGCUUCCUGAAGGUAAUACUAGGUUAAUGGGCUAGGGUAAUGUUUAAGGUUUUUGGCGUUAGGGUUAAAAUCAAUGUCCAAAACCUUUGUAGGAACUCUUUUCCAACCUUUGAGAGCAAGUUAGACCAAAACAAAAAGAAAAAUAAAAAAUAUAUAAGGGGUGUUCGGGCUUCCUGAAGGUAAUACCCGGGUAUUAGGUUAUGGGGCUAGGGUAAGGUUUAAGGUUUUUCAGCUUGAGGAUAAAAAUCACGGUCCAAAACCUUUGUAGGAACUCUUUUCCAACCUUUGGGAAUUAGUUAGACAAAAAAAAAAAGGUAAAUGCGUUAGGGUUAAAAUAACUAUCCAAUAUUUUUUAAGGAACAUGUUUCAGACCUUUUGGAGCUAGUUUGACCAAAAAAAAAGAAAAAGAAAAAAUAUAUAUUUGGGGUGUUCGGGCUUCGUGAAGGUAAUACCCGGGUAUUAGGUUUUGGGGCUAGGGUUAGGUUUAAGGUUUUUGGCGUUAGGGUUAAAAUAACUGUCCAAUAUUUUUUAAGGAACAUGUUUCAGACCUUUGGGAGUUAGUUAGACAAAAAAAAAAGAAAAAGAAAACAAAAAUAUUUGGGGUGUUCGGGCUUCCUGAAGGUAAUACCUGGGUAUUAGGUUUUGGGGCUAGGGUAAGGUUUAAGGUUUUUGGUGUUAGGGUUAGAAUCACUGUCCAAAACCUUUGUAGGAACUCUUUUCCGACCUUUUGGAGUUAGUUAGACCAAAAAAAAAGAAAAAAGAAAAAAAUAUAUUUGGGGUCUUCGGGCUUCCUGAAGGUAAUGAGGUUAUGGGGCUAGGGUUAGGUUUAAGGUUUUUGGCGUUAGGGUUAAAAUCACUGUCCAAAACCUUUUUAGGAACAUGUUUCAGACCUUUUGGAGUUGGUAACACCAAAAAAAAAUUUAAAAUGAAAAAAAAAAAAAUUGGGGGUGUUCAAGCUUCCUGAAGGUAAUACCCGGGUAUUAGGUUUUGGGGCUAGGGUAAGGUUUAAGGUUUUUGGCGUUAGGGUUAAAAUCACUGUCCAAAACCUUUUAAGGAACAAGAUUCAGACCUUUUGGAGUUGGUUACACCAAAAAAAAUGUAAAAUGAAAAAAAAAAUAUUUGGGGUGUUCAGGCUUCCUUAAGGUAAUACCCUUCAGGUUUAAGUAUUAGGUUAUGGGGCUAGGAUUAGGUUUAAGGUUUUUGGCGUAAGGGUUAAAAUCACUGUCCAAUAUUUUUUAAGGAACAUGUUUCAGACCUUUUGGAGCUAGUUUGACCAAAAAAAAAAAGAAAAAGAAAAAAUAUAUAUUUGGGGUGUUCUGGCUUCCUGAAGGUAAUACCCGGGUAUUAGGUUAUGGGGCUAGGUUAAGGUUUAAGGUUUUUGGCGUGAGGGUUAAAAUCACUGUCCAAAACCUUUGUAGGAAGUCUUUUCCAACCUUUUGGAGUUAGUUAGACAAAAAAAAAAGAUAAAUGAAAAAAAAAUAUUUGGGGUGUUCGGGCUUCCUGAAGGUAAUACCCAGGUAUUAGGUUAUGGGGCUAGGGUAAGGUUUAAGGUUUUUGGCGUAAGGGUUAAAAUCACUGUCCAAAACCUUUUUAGGAACAUGUUUCAGACCUUUUGGAGUUGGUUACACCAAAAAAAAUGUAAAAUGAAAAAAAAUUUUUUUUGGGUGUUCGGGCUUCCUGAAGGUAAUACUAGGUUUCUGGGCUAGGGUAAUGUUUAAGGUUUUUGGCGUUAGGGUUAAAAUCAAUGUCCAAAACCUUUGUAGGAACUCUUUUCCAACCUUUGAGAGCAAGUUAGACCAGAACAAAAAGAACUAGGGCCCCGGUGGGGCACUGUCGGGCCCGAGCCGCGUCGUGCCGCCCCCAGCGUGACCGCCUCCCCCUCCCGAUCGCGUCACACUCAAGGUCCAAAGAUGGUGUGCGCACUUGUCUGUGGUCAUUUCCCAUUAUAAUGAAUGGGAGGCGCAGUUUCUACCAAAACACUCGCUGCAGACAAACUUCAUGUCCUAUUUGAAAAAAGUCUGGACCAUGAGUGAGGGCACAAACACAGCUGGGAUAUAUCCAAAUGGCAGGUUGCUCCUCGUUACGGUGUUGCCUGGAGAGCGAUGCGAUUGAGCCAUUGAGCGAUGGGCAGGAAAAACUUGACUUUUUCUCCUGCCAUGGGGGGGGGGGGAGAAUGUGGAUUCUUUUAAGAAUGUGGAUUUUUUGGUCAUCUUUGGCGCCCCCUAGAACGUAAACCGUGGGGUGCAGCGUCAUGAUUUUUACAACUUUGAAUGGCCAUGGGGUGUAGAUUGGCCUGAGCAAAUUUGGUUUCAGUGGGACGAAAGCCUUAGGAGGAGUUAGCCACAUUCCAAUGUGUGCGAAUCGGCAAAAAAUGCAAAAUAGCCCUCUAACCGUACAUUUGACAGAUACGCACCCAUUGACUUUUUCGUAGAUCUUAUUGAGAUACACGUGAUUGUCAAAUUUUGUGUCAAUAUGACAAAGCGUACAGGUGUC